CUUGAAGUGAAGAAUGAUGAUGAGAUAGAUGACGUCCACGAAAGCUAAGGAAACUUCGUCCUACGUCGCUCUACGUCGUUCUACACCUGUUUUCGUCGUUCUGCUUCAAGACUAAAGGUUAAUGUUAAAUGGAAGCCAAGAGAAGAAAUAUCAUCCUAAAUAAUCAGUACAACUGAGGGACUUCAGUCACAUCCUCAUUUGCAGAGACGUUUAGGGAGUGGAGAUUCUACCAACCUUGCAAAGUUUCCAGUUAUCCCAUGAGAGAGACCUUGAUCACCUAUCCCAUGUGAGAGAUCUUGGUCACUUUUUUUUAAUACGUACACAUUGACGAUCCCGAAAACGAAUACCGCGUGCAUACUAUAACAAUGCUGGUACCGAGUGGCCGAGCCACGCCACCACGUGUACAUAGUAGAUGCAUGACGGGAGGGAUGGUGGCCAAUAGGAGAGAAGGAUUUCAUGGCCGCGACUAGCAUCAGGAACCAAUGGGAGAGCAGGAGGAUGGUGGCGAAUCUACUAGUACUAAGAUGGCGGCACGCGACACGAUUUUCAAAAUGUUAUCCGGGCGAAUCUUGGACUUUCAGAAACCUUUUGUAUCUUGAAAACUUUUUUCGUAUGUAGAGCCGUUAAAUUUUUCAUAUUGGCUUUCGUAUCUCGAGUUUUUCGUAAGUUGAGCCUUUCGUAUCUCGAGGUACUAUUGUACUUCAGUUUUUCUACUCUGAAAACCUUUUCAAGUGAAAAGGCAUUGUGGUUCUCAAAUUGUUUGAUCUUGAACUUGGUGGAAAAUUCAAUCUACAGUAUAAGGAAAUCCUUUUUAAAAGUUACCAAACCAACAUUGUCAAAUUGGUAUUUACUGUUGAUGAGAUGUAAUUUCAGAUCUCCCAUUUUCCCAUCAAAAGUAACUUCUUUCAAGGAUAGAAAGUUAUAUAAGCGUAAGUGUCCGCUUUUAAUAUUUACAGUGAAAGUGUUGCUCAUUUACGUCACAUAAUUUUAUUUCACCUAAUUGGUUAAGAUCUUAACACCACAAAGUUUUUUUGUCAAAUUAGUUAUUCAGAUUUGAAAAUUUAGGAUUUAAACUGAUGCAUGAUGAUAGUGUAAAGUGAAAAGAUCAUUACUGUAGCACAGCCAUUAAAGAAAACUAGAAAAGUGCUGUGUAAGUAGAUGUAAACGUGAGACUUGAGACACAGGACCAUUUCCAUGUCAGCCCUCAUGAAACUUGUGGAAACAAUCUUGGUUUUAAACCUCUUCAAAAUCUUGGCUUCAAACUUCAAAUGGGCACCAUUUUCGACAAAUAACAUUUUUUUUCUCCAAACAUUGACAAUUUCAGUAAAGCUAAAGCUGGUAAGGAACGUCCAUAAAAGAGACCAUACAAGUUUUUGUUUUGACAAACCUAGACUAGUGUUGUUUAGACACGUCAUUUUGCUAAAGUAUUUCAAAUGACUGUAAAGAUAGUUUUAAUUUUUAGUAUGUUUUUCAAAGUGGUUAGUUGUUCUCUUAAAAAAAAAAAUUUUAAAAAGUAAUUUUGACAGAUUUGCUCAGCGUAGUUUUACAUUUCUUUCUUGAAUGUAAAAUUUUUCAGUAUGUAAUUUUAUUACUUUUAUCAAUAGGUAAAUGCACAUGACUUAAUAUAUGAGUUAACAUAGAUAUUUUUUAUGUAAGUCCAUGUGUUCAGGUUGGAAAGGCACUACCUUGGUUUGAGUACUUGAACAUUUUGGGUGUUUUCAUAAGAAUGCGCUUUGUUGAUAUUGGUAUAAAUCCCUUCCUUAGUGUACAUAAGAUGAGUGAUAUCUUGGAACUGUAUGUUACUAUAAUCCUCAGAUGUAAUUUUAGUUGCCCUCGGUACAACUUUAUACAUUACAGCAUUGUACUUUGUAAUGGGAGUUUUUUUUUUUUUUUUUUUUUUUUUUUUUUU